CGCCAAGUCCAAGAGGGUGUGAGUCAGAACGCUCACAAAAAGCUCAGAUUCUUGCCCGGCAUCGUCUACAUUGAUGAGGGCGGCGCUGUGGGUCUGUCAAUACAGAAG